rfam:Oryza brachyantha chromosome 8, whole genome shotgun sequence.
AAUAACCUUAUUUUUCGUUUUUCCAUGUCCAACGUUUGACCAUUCGUCUUAUUUGAAUUUUUUUGCGAUUAAUAUUUUUAUUGUUACUAGAUGAUAAAAUAUAAAUAGUACUUUAUACGAGACUAAUUUUUUUAAGUUUUUUACAAAUUUUUCAAAUAAGACGAAUGGUCAAACACGUUGGACACGAAAAAAC